rnacentral:lncRNA from 1 species
UGUAUACAUAUAUAUAUCCAAUUUUAUUUAAUAUUUUAUAAGAAUUAUAAUUAUUUAUGCAUGAUAAUAGCAUAAAUCUAAAAAAAUUUUAAUUAAAUAAAAGAAUUUUUAUUCCGAAUUUUUAAAUGAUAAACGUAAAAUUUUCGUAUGAAUCGCGUAUACGAAUUAUUGGCAAAUCUAAUUUUUAAACCGUAUUUUUCAACGAACUUAAAAAUUAAGAUACGAAUUUUAUUCGUAUUUUAUCCGUAUCGAAUUUUUAUCGUAUUCGAAUUAACUAACUAUGGUUUAAAGACACGAGGUUUAAUUUAGGAAAGGUAAUAAUAUAAAGAUAGAAUAUUGGAGGAUAAGAAUGAAGGAAGGUGGAAUAUUCUAAAUUUACAAAAAUGACAUGUUAUGAAGAUGAAAAUUUACCAAAAUGCUCUCAUUGCAAACUCCAUGUAAUAAAAAAAAAAAUUUGCCCUUAUUAAAGUGGUGAACGGUACCUAUACUCCCAAGUGCCGGUCGCCCUCUUUUAAUAGGUCUAUCAUUACCAUCUAUUUAAAGAAUUUUAAUGGUUGAGAUUUGUUCGGUGCAUAGGAGCAUUGCUCCUUUAGUUUUACCUAA